AAAAACCAUCAUCACUGCAACAUCAUCAGGAUCCUGGGGCCCACUUUCAGGAGGAUAGCAGCUCUGAUGAGUCCCGUCUCAGCUUGUUUCUGUCUGUUCCCAGCCCAGCCGGUGGCCUGGUUAAACCUGGAGAUGGCUCCAUACUGGUACAAUCGUCAGGAAUGCUCGAAGAUAGAAAUCUAGGGUUUAAGGCAGAGUCUGUCCUGCCUCCAAUCCUGACUGGACAUAAAACCCGGGACGUCUGCAGGUCACCUCAGUCACAGAGAGCUGAACCAACGUCGCCAGUCGAGAAGAACCAAGGAGCAAAUGUGAAGGAAGCAUUUUCAUAAUGGGUUCAGUUACUGGACUGUAAACAAAGCAGAACAUGAUGGAAAUAUUCUCUUUUCUAAAAGUGAAACAGUUUAAAAAAAAGAAAGAUAUGCUGUUCUCAUGAUCUGUGAGAAUAGGGCUUGGAUUUCAGUUUCACGCCUUUGUUUUGUUUGUUUUUUUACUCUCUGUCUUCUCUUGUCUCCUUGUUCAUUUUCCUAGUUAACAGCACUUCAGGUUUUAUUCUGUAAAUAGUUUUAUUUUUUAUACUUUCCCAUGUGUUUCUGCCCAGUGAUGCAUAUUUUUAUGACGUCUCAAGACACAACUGCAGUUUGUUUAGACUAUGAGAGAGCAAGGCAUUCUGCUGAUAACAGGAAGGCUGAAGGGAAUAAUUUGAAGCUGCUCUUGUUUAUCAUUCUGAGCUUUUAACCGCUGCCGUACUGGAUUUGGUGUUAAGGUACAGAUGUAAAUUAAAAACGUCUGCUUCAGUAAUCGUUAAGCCAUCCUAAUUGCUAGCUUAACAUCUAACUGAAAUAAGACACCAGCUUCACAUCGACGCUUCUCCACUUCUGUCCCAUCAUUUCUUUUGUCUAUUUUAUAAAUCUCAGUUUGACGUUUUCUGCUUUCUUUUUAAUGCAGCUUGAUAAGUGUGUUCAACGGGAAAUUAAAGAGCCACACACAUUA